GCCGGGGUAGCUCAGUGGUAGCAGCGCGUCAUUGGUAAUGACGAGGUCGGGAGUUCAAUUCUCCCUCCCGGCACCA
rnacentral:tRNA from 1 species